rnacentral:hammerhead_ribozyme from 1 species
AUCCAGUUGACGAGUCCCAAAUAGGACGAAAUGCGCUUUAUCCUGGUGGAU